rnacentral:lncRNA from 8 species
CCUUCCCUGGACACCCAAGGGUAAUAUCCACCAUGACCCGGGCAGAGAGAGAGAGGGAGAAGAGGAAGGAGCUGCUGAAGGAUGAGGAGAGAAGGAAGAAGUUGGAGGAUUUCAAUAAGCAGUGGAGAGAGCAGUCCCUGCUUAAAAAAAGGACUCAUCAGAAUCUGAAGGAGGAGAGGGAGAGGAUGAUGGAAAAAGUACCUGGAGCAGAUGAAUCUGGAGGCUGAUGCUCAAAUCAACACCCGGUGUCUAACCACCCAACACAGCCACGAUUCCAACCACGGUCAGGCAUUGCCGGGAUGGGCCACAGGCCAACAAGUAAGCCAAGAGCCUGUUGGAUCUGGAGAUGGCCAGCAGGAGGGGCCAAGGAGGCAGCAGGCAUGGGCAGAGAACCAGGAGGGGAGUUCGGAGAACCAGCAGGAGUGGCCAGAGAACCAGCAGGGGGUGCCAGAGAGCCAGGAGGGGAGUUCAGAGAACCAACAGGGGGUGCCAGAGAGCCAGGAGGGGAGUUCAGAGAACCAGCAGGAGUGGCCAGAGAACCAACAGGGGGUGCCAGAGAGCCAGGAGGGGAGUUCGGAGAACCAGCAGGAGUGGCCAGAGAACCAACAGGGGGUGCCAGAGAGCCAGGAGGGGAGUUCAGAGAACCAAGGCAGGAGUGGCCAGAGAACCAACAGGGGGUGCCAGAGAGCCAGGAGGGGAGUUCAGAGAACCAGCAGGAGUGGCCAGAGAACCAACAGGGGGUGCCAGAGAGCCAGGAGGGGAGUUCAGAGAACCAGCAGGAGUGGCCAGAGAACCAACAGGGGGUGCCAGAGAACCAGGAGGGGAGUUCGGAGAACCAGCAGGAGUGGCCAGAGAACCAACAGGGGGUGCCAGAGAGCCAGGAGGGGAGUUCAGAGAACCAACAGGGGGUGCCAGAGAGCCAGGAGGGGAGUUCAGAGAACCAACAGGGGGUGCCAGAGAACCAGGAGGGGAGUUCAGAGAACCAACAGGGGGUGCCAGAGAACCAACAGGGGGUGCCAGAGAACCAGGAGGGGAGUUCGGAGAACCAGCAGGAGUGGCCAGAGAACCAACAGGGGGUGCCAGAGAGCCAGGAGGGGAGUUCAGAGAACCAACAGGGGGUGCCAGAGAACCAGGAGGGGAGUUCAGAGAACCAACAGGGGGAGCCAGAGAACCAACAGGGGGUGCCAGAGAACCAACAGGGGGAGCCAGAGAACCAACAGGGGGAGCCAGAGAGCCAGGAGGGGAGUUCAGAGAACCAACAGGGGGAGCCAGAGAGCCAACAGCUAGAAGCUCCAGGAGAGGCUGAAACAUCAGAGCCAACCUCCAAGAACAAGAAAAGGCCAGGCAUCUGGAAGAGAAUUAAGAUGAGCAUUCCUGACGUGCUGUCUGCCUAGAGCUGGAACUCGAUGAAGCCACAGUUCCACUGAGGUUACAUUGGUAAUUAAAAGUGUCGCCCAAUAAUUCCUCCUCCUCUUUAAGUCAUCAAGCCACAUUUCCUCCACAAAACAUGAUAUUCUCCUCAAGCCAGAAAGUAUCCUCUUUAUCAAGGCAACAAACCAUCUAAGGUCAGUGACUCUCCUCCCCAGAGCAGAGAUUCUCAUCUUUAUCCAAGUUGAAUUCAUCUCUGCUCACCACCUCUACUGUCCUAGAAAAUAUCCCCAAAUGGACAUGGUUUAAACAGAAGUCCUCCCCUUAGACCAGUGGCUCCACAGACCAGAGUUUCUCAUCUUUAUUCAAGUUGAAUGCAACUCUGAUCAUUUCCACCACCUCACCUGUUAAGGGGAGGUGCUGAAAAGGAGGUCGGAGAGGAGGUCUGCAGGUAGCCUGGACCGGACCGGUAGCAGCUAAGUUGCUGGCUCCAUCCCCGGGCAGAGCUGCUCAAGUCAGGCCAGUGAUGUUUGUUGAUGUCAUUUUCAUUAGCAAAGUUGUACGCUUUAAUAAAAGCAGUUAUUAAAAAAGCA